rnacentral:rRNA from 1 species
GCCGAGGAUCAUUGGCAAUGCGCGAAAGCGUGACCAUGCGACGCCGCGUGGAGGAUGAAGGCCUUCGGGUUGUAAACUCCUGUCAGGGGCUACGAAAGGUGCCGUCACUAAUAAGGGCGGUACUUGACUUCAACCCCAGAGGAAGCUCCGGCUAACUUCGUGCCAGCAGCCGCGGUAAGACGAAGGGAGCAAGCGUUGUUCGGAAUUAUUGGGCGUAAAGGGUGCGCAGGCGGGCGGCUAUGUCGGAUGUGAAAGCCCACGGCCCAACCGUGGAACUGCAUUCGAAACUAUCCGUCUUGAGUGGAGGAGAGGAGAGUGGAACUCCAGGUGGAGCGGUGAAAUGCGUUGAUAUCUGGAGGAACGCCGGUGGCGAAAGCGGCUCUCUGGCCUUCAACUGACGCUGAGGCACGAAAGCUAGGGGAGCAAACGGGAUUAGAAACCCGGGUAGUCC